CUUUAAAAAUGAAAAACCUGAAUUUUAUGGAAUCAUACAGCAAUUGAAGGAGGAAGAGAACAUCAACAAGAGCCACUGUGUACAAGAUUAAAUUGGUAGCAGGUACAUUUAAAGGGACAUUGAUGUAAGGGCUUCAUGGAAUCAGUGGAACAGAUCUACAGGCACUCUGAAGCCGGAGGGAGGGGUCUUCAUUCCCCAGAUCUCUGUAGAUCUACCCAGAGCUGGGCCCAGCUAUUCUCUUUUGAGAUAAUUUCCACAAAGCAGAGGUGGAAAACCAUGCUCUGACAGAGAGAAGAAAA
rnacentral:lncRNA from 1 species